rnacentral:rRNA from 1 species
CAGUAGGGAGGAAGGUAGUGUAGUUAACACCUGCAUUAUUUGACGUUACCUACAGAAGAAGCACCGGCUAACUCCGUGCCAGCAGCCGCGGUAAUACGGAGGGUGCGAGCGUUAAUCGGAAUUACUGGGCGUAAAGCGCAUGCAGGCGGCCUGUUAAGUCAGAUGUGAAAGACCCGGGGCGUUAACCUCGGAAUUGCAUUUGAAACUGGCAGGCUAGAGUCUUGUAGAGGGGGUAGGAAGUUUCAGGUGUAGCGGUGAAAUGCGUAGAGAUCUGAAGGAAUACCAGUGGCGAAGGCGGCCCCCUCGGACAAAGACUGACGCUCAGAUGCGAAAGCGUGGGGAGCAAACAGGAUUAGAUACCCUGGUAG